rnacentral:rRNA from 1 species
CAGUCGCCGCGGGAAUACGUAGGGUGCGAGCGUUAAUCGGAGUUACUGGGCGUAAAGCGUGCGCAGGCGGUUGUGUAAGACAGGUGUGAAAUCCCCGGGCUUAACCUGGGAACUGCGCUUGUGACUGCACAGCUAGAGUAUGGCAGAGGGGGGUGGAAUUCCACGUGUAGCAGUGAAAUGCGUAGAGAUGUGGAGGAACACCGAUGGCGAAGGCAGCCCCCUGGGCCAAUACUGACGCUCAUGCACGAAAGCGUGGGGAGCAAACAGGAUUAGAUACCCCAGUAGUCCCUGUCUCUUAUAC